rnacentral:misc_RNA from 1 species
GACAAUUUUAUAGCUCCUUUCAGUUUUAAGCUGAUACGUGUGGUAAAUAGCAUUUUUUUCUUUUAAUGCUUUUAUAACUUUCCUAAAUGUUUCUGGGGUGUUUGUUUGUAUUUUUACUUGUUCCAAUUUUGUUUGCUUUAUUGUGUAGUUGUUUUUCUCGUCUAGAUUAUUUAGUAGAUCGAUGAGUGGGUCUAUUAUUUGGGCCUCAACAAAGAUUGGUGGUGGUUUUGUAAUAUGAUUUGUUUGGAUUGUGGUUUUAUUUAUGGGGUCAGCGUCUGUUUCUUCUGUUAGUGAGCUGAAUGAGUUGCUUAAUGCACUAUUACUUUGAAGCACUUUUUCCCUAUUCACUUAUACCUGGAGAGGACGACUGUCUAGACACGUCCGUCCUCCUCGGCUGUCCGAGCAGGAGUGAUACAGUUUA